rnacentral:lncRNA from 1 species
GACCCACUGGACGGCCAGAUGGGGAUCAAAGAAUCCCGAGUUAGGAUCUGGAUGAAGGAUAAGCCCCUGAAUUGUCGAUGGGCUCACCCCCACACUGACCCAGCAUCUGAACUUGCUUAACAGGGAGCCGGGGCUAAACUGCUUCACCCUGCCUGAGAACCAGGGAGCACUGCAUUUCUCCACAGGGUGGAGGAGAAGAGGCAGAGUAAACCAAGCCUGGGACACCUCCCUCCUGUCUAGGUGUACUCAUUCUUCUGUUUCAAAAGAAGGCAAGGACAUGAAGUCAACUUCUACCUAUCUUCUGCUGCUGGUGUCUUAUGUAUUCUCAGUUUGACCUGAUUCCUCUUCUGUCUUUUGACUUAACAUUAGGGGUUCUGGGUCAUAACCUGCUCUGAUGUACAUAAAGAUUUCAGGUUCAAUAUCAAUGUGUCUUAAAACAGAAGUAUUUUAGCGGGUGGGGGGUGGGGUGGUGGGGACAAACAACGCAGGAUAUAAUUGCCAAAACCAGGCUUGAGGUUGGUGACUCUUGAAAGAUUUUCUUUCUUCAGGCCUAGAUCAGAAAAUUAAGUGCAGCAAUAUCAUGAAUUCUCAGAAGCCCUUUCAGGGAGCCAGUGAGUCAUACAGUAUCCACAGUUGAGUCACUUAAAGAUGUCAGUAUACGAAACAUUAUUCACAAUCCUUGGGCAAUCUCAUUUUUUUUCCUUCUCCCCUCCUCCCCUGCCCCCCAUACAUUUCUAUCCUUGAGUUAGUUUUGGAGGGGCAGGAAGUACUUAACAUCUCAGAAGCUAGAUGGGGAAACAUGCUCAGCUAUAAGAACUGAGCUUUAAAUUUUGAGUUUAAAAAUGUACAUCAGGAGCAGCUGGGGAGGGUCUUUUUUUAAAAAAAUCUUUCAAAUUUGGUUUUCUGUGCAUAUGGCCGUUUUGUAAAUACUUUGGGGUUUUUCAUUUUUUUGAAAGUAGAUGAAAUCUGUUGUGGGAUUUUUUUCCCGAAACAUUACAAAAUAACCUGUUUAUUU